rnacentral:snRNA from 1 species
GGAAGUGAGGGCAAUCUGGCUGUGACAUCUGUCAUCCCAUUGAUCAUUAGGGUUAAUUUGGCUGAUCUGGCUAGCUAGGCUGGUGUCCCCUCCUUCCCUCAACAUUUGAUGUGUGUCCUUCCAGCAGCUGUGAGCUUGGUCGAAGAGAAUGACCACUCCAAUGGAGAAGCACCAGUCUUUGGUCAAGCAAAUGCAAGUAGCUGCACUCCCCUACAGCCUGCAAAUAAGUUCUCACAGUGGCCUGGGUUGAUCUGGGAUUUCUCCUCUCUCCUGAUAUUAAACAAUGACCAAGGACAAAGGCAAGUAUUAGCCUUAAAUAUUUG